rnacentral:rRNA from 2 species
GCCGGAGGGAAACCGAGUCUUAACCGGGCGUUAAGUUGCAGGGUAUAGACCCGAAACCCGGUGAUCUAGCCAUGGGCAGGUUGAAGGUUGGGUAACACUAACUGGAGGACCGAACCGACUAAUGUUGAAAAAUUAGCGGAUGACCUGUGGCUGGGGGUGAAAGGCCAAUCAAACCGGGAGAUAGCUGGUUCUCCCCGAAAGCUAUUUAGGUAGCGCCUCGUGAAUUCAUCUCCGGGGGUAGAGCACUGUUUCGGCUAGGGGGCCAUCCCGGCUUACCAACCCGAUGCAAACUGCGAAUACCGGAGAAUGUUAUCACGGGAGACACACGGCGGGUGCUAACGUCCGUCGUGAAGAGGGAAACAACCCAGACCGCCAGCUAAGGUCCCAAAGUCAUGGUUAAGUGGGAAACGAUGUGGGAAGGCCCAGACAGCCAGGAUGUUGGCUUAGAAGCAGCCAUCAUUUAAAGAAAGCGUAAUAGCUCACUGGUCGAGUCGGCCUGCGCGGAAGAUGUAACGGGGCUAAACCAUGCACCGAAGCUGCGGCAGCGACGCUGAUGCGUUGUUGGGUAGGGGAGCGUUCUGUAAGCCUGCGAAGGUGUGUCGUGAGGCAUGCUGGAGGUAUCAGAAGUGCGAAUGCUGACAUAAGUAACGAUAAAGCGGGUGAAAAGCCCGCUCGCCGGAAGACCAAGGGUUCCUGUCCAACGUUAAUCGGGGCAGGGUGAGUCGACCCCUAAGGCGAGGCCGAAAGGCGUAGUCGAUGGGAAACGGGUUAAUAUUCCCGUACUUGGUGUUACUGCGAAGGGGGGACGGAGAAGGCUAUGUUGGCCGGGCGACGGUUGUCCCGGUUUAAGCGUGUAGGUGUGUGUUCCAGGUAAAUCCGGUUCACUUUAACACUGAGGCGUGAUGACGAGGCACUACGGUGCUGAAGCAACAAAUGCCCUGCUUCCAGGAAAAGCCUCUAAGCAUCAGGUAACAUCAAAUCGUACCCCAAACCGACACAGGUGGUCAGGUAGAGAAUACCAAGGCGCUUGAGAGAACUCGGGUGAAGGAACUAGGCAAAAUGGUGCCGUAACUUCGGGAGAAGGCACGCUGACACGUAGGUGAAGUGAUUUACUCAUGGAGCUGAAGUCAGUCGAAGAUACCAGCUGGCUGCAACUGUUUAUUAAAAACACAGCACUGUGCAAACACGAAAGUGGACGUAUACGGUGUGACGCCUGCCCGGUGCCGGAAGGUUAAUUGAUGGGGUCAGCGCAAGCGAAGCUCCUGAUCGAAGCCCCGGUAAACGGCGGCCGUAACUAUAACGGUCCUAAGGUAGCGAAAUUCCUUGUCGGGUAAGUUCCGACCUGCACGAAUGGCGUAAUGAUGGCCAGGCUGUCUCCACCCGAGACUCAGUGAAAUUGAACUCGCUGUGAAGAUGCAGUGUACCCGCGGCAAGACGGAAAGACCCCGUGAACCUUUACUAUAGCUUGACACUGAACAUUGAGCCUUGAUGUGUAGGAUAGGUGGGAGGCUUUGAAGUGUGGACGCCAGUCUGCAUGGAGCCGGCCUUGAAAUACCACCCUUUAAUGUUUGAUGUUCUAACGUGGACCCGUGAUCCGGGUUGCGGACAGUGUCUGGUGGGUAGUUUGACUGGGGCGGUCUCCUCCUAAAGAGUAACGGAGGAGCACGAAGGUUGGCUAAUCCUGGUCGGACAUCAGGAGGUUAGUGCAAUGGCAUAAGCCAGCUUGACUGCGAGCGUGACGGCGCGAGCAGGUGCGAAAGCAGGUCAUAGUGAUCCGGUGGUUCUGAAUGGAAGGGCCAUCGCUCAACGGAUAAAAGGUACUCCGGGGAUAACAGGCUGAUACCGCCCAAGAGUUCAUAUCGACGGCGGUGUUUGGCACCUCGAUGUCGGCUCAUCACAUCCUGGGGCUGAAGUAGGUCCCAAGGGUAUGGCUGUUCGCCAUUUAAAGUGGUACGCGAGCUGGGUUUAGAACGUCGUGAGACAGUUCGGUCCCUAUCUGCCGUGGGCGCUGGAGAACUGAGGGGGGCUGCUCCUAGUACGAGAGGACCGGAGUGGACGCAUCACUGGUGUUCGGGUUGUCAUGCCAAUGGCACUGCCCGGUAGCUAAAUGCGGAAGAGAUAAGUGCUGAAAGCAUCUAAGCACGAAACUUGCCCCGAGAUGAGUUCUCCCUGAGACUUAGAGUCUCCUGAAGGAACGUUGAAGACGACGACGUUGAUAGGCCGGGUGUGUAAGCGCAGCGAUGCGUUGAGCUAACCGGUACUAAUGAACCGUGAGGCUUAACCUUACAACGCCGAAG